rnacentral:sRNA from 1 species
CGAUUGUUCCACUGCUGCGUUUGGCACGCGAUCUUGAAAGUGCCUACGACGACCUGGAAUCAUUUGCUGGAUGAUGACUUCGGAUUUGGAGUACAUCCUCACGAACUGUGAACAUUCACCACGUCUCCUGAUGUCACACCAGUUGCAGCUGCCUCAGUUGUCGUUCUCAUCCGUACGUGAUUGGUAAGGAUGGAUUCUAGGUCUGCAUGGAUGUGGCCUAAUCGUCACUGAUGACUAUGUGCUCGGGGCGGCUGUAGUCGGCGCAACAUAUUCAUGGCUCAAACAUUGGAUCAUCGCUGGAGCAAGAGUCUGAAGGACAUCUAUUUGGUGCAUUCCACAUUUGGGAUUAAAUUCUUGGUUUGGAUGGCGCGCUCCUUUGUCAGCACAAAAUACCGGAGCAAGCUCAUCUAUGUACAAUCUCUGGAGGAACUGACCUGC